UCCCUGGUGGCUCAGAUGGUAAAGCGUCUGCCUACAAUGCAGGAGACCUGGGUUCAAUCCCUGGUUUGGGAA
rnacentral:tRNA from 1 species